AGAGCACCAUGGAAUGUGGCUGUGGAGCUGGAAGGGGCUGUGGUAGGAGAGCAGCUCUGUAGAGUCAGCAGAAGGCAAGACAUUAACCUUUAGUUCCACCAGGACCACAGCUGGGAACAUGGAGAAGGCACUUCCUGCUGGAGAAGGUCUUGGGUUCAUCAGUGCCAGGAAACGUGGGAACCAGAAUAGAAAUGAAAAGGAAGGAAGCAAACAAGUACACAUCAUUGUGCAAUAGUGAAAUGAGAGAAGACAAAUAUUCGAAUGCAGAGAGUAACUGAACAGAAAGAGCAUGGGAAGAGAUGAAGAGGUCCAGAGGGGAGAGCAAGAGGGAUACAGAACCUCUCACUUGUUAUUCUUGUGGAUCUCGUACCCUCUUAUCUGUAAAUACCAUGCUGGUGUUGCUGUUUUCUCGUGUGGGUUGGUUUGCAGUUGAGACCUCAGCUUCAACCAGGAAGCUGAACCACUGGCUGGUGGAGCAGAGCUCCAGUGAACACCCUUUCUUCUGGAGACAUGUGUGGCUGGACUCGUGUGCCCAGCAUGGUGUGGAGGGUGGUUACUAUGGGUGCUGAUAGAAACCAAAGGAGAGGAAAUGGCAGAUGGGAGGAGGUUUUGCUCUAAGCCUGAAGAGGAAAAGCGGUGGCAGGCAGUGAGGAGCAGCAGAGAUUCCACCCACAGAGGCUGGGGAGAGAGAGGGGCCUGCACCUGCUGACUGCUCCCCUUGGUGGCAGGGGUGACACAAGCUGUGUCUGGCCUGGAGCAGUCAGUCUGGAGGUACAGCCAUGCACCACUGUGCAGUUCGAGAUUUGUUUGGAAAAUCUCACGGUGCAGGUGAAGUGGUGCAAACCUGAAUGUCUGGAGGGGGAGAAUCAAACCAUCCCUGUGACUCCAGGAGAAAACUGUAUGAAUUUCACCAGCUCAAGCCCGUGUGCAGCCCACACAGGAAUCUGUGCAUGUAGGGUCUUCAUCACAAGACCAAAUUUGACAGACACUGGAAACUGCACACAAGCAGCAGUUCACUGCUGUGGCUGUGCAGAACCUCUGACUGAUGUCACAGGGAAGAUCUGGACAGGACUCAACCUCCUCCUGUGCAUCUUCCUUGGCUUAGCGGUUGGGACCCUCCUUUACAUGCCGGUAAUUGGCUUCCUGCUGUGGCAGUGCACAAGGAACAAAACAGGAGAGCUCAUGAGCAGGGAAGUGGCAGAGAGGAAUCAGGUCAAUAUGGCAGCCCCAGUGACAGGGACUGAGGACCUGACCUAUGCCAACCUGAAUUUUGGAAAGAAGGAGAGAGGACCUGCCUCCUCCAAUGUCAUUUACACUGAGAUCAAGCCAUCACAACAGAAGCAGAGUGCUGGGGAGGGCAGUGCUGCCAGCACAGAUAUGUAUGUCUCCUCCAAGGAAGAGGGCAAGUGA
rnacentral:lncRNA from 1 species